GUGGGGAAUAUUGGACAAUGGGCGAAAGCCUGAUCCAGCCAUGCCGCGUGUGUGAAGAAGGUCUUCGGAUUGUAAAGCACUUUAAGUUGGGAGGAAGGGCAGUAAGUUAAUACCUUGCUGUUUUGACGUUACCGACAGAAUAAGCACCGGCUAACUUCGUGCCAGCAGCCGCGGUAAUACGAAGGGUGCAAGCGUUAAUCGGAAUUACUGGGCGUAAAGCGCGCGUAGGUGGUUUUGUAAGUUGGAGGUGAAAUCCCCGGGCUCAACCUGGGAACUGCCUCCAAAACUACUGAGCUAGAGUACGGUAGAGGGUAGUGGAAUUUCCUGUGUAGCGGUGAAAUGCGUAGAUAUAGGAAGGAACACCAGUGGCGAAGGCGACUACCUGGACUGAUACUGACACUGAGGUGCGAAAGCGUGGGGAGCAAACAGGAUUAGAUACCCCGGUAGUCC
rnacentral:rRNA from 1 species